rnacentral:ribozyme from 1 species
UGUCCAGCAACUCCUAUCCCUACCUCCACGCGGUACCGGCCGGAAACUAUGAGCAACCUUAGGGAAGA